rnacentral:ribozyme from 13 species
UUUCCAGGUAUUAUUUUUUUUGUGAAUUUCUUCUUUAUUUUUUUUUGGGAGAGGUGUGACAGGGGGGAGAGAAAGGAAAGAGAAGGGGGGCUCAAGAGGUGACAAAUUGUCAUUUUCUUCUCUCUUUCUUUU